AAAAGAAAAAAAGAAAAAAAGAAAAAGGAAAAAUGGGGGAACGGGUAAUGAUAAUGUUGUUAUUGUUACCACUCACUAUGGAUGGACUAUCAUCGGCUCUCUUCAUUUCUGGCACUCACUUAAAGAUGAGGUCAAGUUGUUUUCGAUCUCAAAUCCACCAACUCUCUCUUUUUUUCCUUCUAUUUUAAUUAUUAAAUUUAACUUUAAAUUAAAUAAACAAAAUAAAUAUAUUAAUUGUAUUUGUAUCCAAAACCAACACAUAAACGAGCCUUUUUCUUCUCUAGUGUAUUUCGUUUGA